UGUAAUUGUCGGUGGUCAUUCUGUAGAAGUUUGUAGUCUUAUCCGCUGGUAUAUAUAAAUUGGCGUCUUUAUUGAUUGCUUCCGUGUGUUAGGACAGUUUGCGUUGGAACUCCGAGGGCCUAGGUGUUCUGAAUUCGAUGUUAUGGAUCAUAUUGCAUGGUCAUCUUGGUUUCAAACUCGUUUAGCUCAGGUACUUGUGGUGGGGGUUUCUUCGAUUUGAAUCCGUAAGUUUGCUGUUCGUUGUUUAUUGUAGAUGGUUUUAGAAAGUGGUAGGCACGCAAUCGCAUUCUGCUGAUCACGCCAUCGCAU